rnacentral:rRNA from 1 species
CUACGGGCGGCAGCAGUGGGGAAUAUUGGACAAUGGGGGAAACCCUGAUCCAGCAAUGCCGCGUGUGUGAAGAAGGCCUGCGGGUUGUAAAGCACUUUCGGUUGGGAGGACUGCUUCUAGCACUAAUAUUGUUGGAAGUUGACGUUACCUUCAGAAGAAGCACCGGCUAACUCCGUGCCAGCAGGCCGCGGUAAUACGGAGGGUGCAAGCGUUAAUCGGAAUUACUGGGCGUAAAGCGCGCGUAGGCGGCUAGGUCAGUCGGGUGUGAAAGCCCCGGGCUUAACCUGGGAACUGCAUCCGAUACUGUCUAGCUUGAGUACAGGAGAGGGGAGUGGAAUUCCACAUGUAGCGGUGAAAUGCGUAGAUAUGUGGAGGAACACCAAUGGCGAAGGCAGCUCUCUGGCCUGAUACUGACGCUGAGGUGCGAAAGCGUGGGGAGCAAACAGGAUUAGAUACCCUUGUAGUC